GGGAUCGUAAGUCUGGAACCGUAGAGGAAGCAGCAAAGUUGGCACACGAGUACCAAGAUGGAAGGAAGGUAGAACCCAGUGGAGGAUGACCCCCCUUCAGCCUGUCCUAUCUGGCGCAAAGCACCCCACCACCAUCCAGACCUGCUCCCUUCACCCCUGCACCCACACCAGCACCUUGUGCAAUGGGUGCAGCCAACCCGGGCACUUUAAGAACAAUUUCCCAAACUGUAACAAAGGGAGCUGAGAAUGCACACCACCUCAGCCAGUUCGGGCUGCAGCCCACUAUUACCAGGAUGAUUUUUUUUCUAACACCAAGUUGCCCAGAGUAACAGUGGACAGUCCUACAUGAGGUGAAUCCCAUCCAAGCUGCAGGCGACAGCCGGGAGCACCAUCGGCAGUAGGUAUCCGUACACUGGCAGGAGGC